GCAGAUUAAAAUGUUUUCUGUAACGUGCUGCUAGAUAGAAGUUGGCUUGUGGGAAUGGCUUAUGUGGAAAUGGCAUGCCGAGCGACAAUGUAUUGAAGCUAACUACGUAAAGGAGUGUGUAAUUUUGCGUCAACUUAUUGUAUGGGGCUAACUGGUAAAGGGAAGCUCCCUUUUGGUUGUGCGAAUCUUCUUCACGUCGCAUCAAACCGCCGAGAUCAUCCUGAGUUGUAUUCACGCGGUGUUAUAUACCAGCACGCGAGUGUUACUAAUACAUAAGCUCGCUACCAUGAUGCAGCUCGUGUCACUUUGACGAAAUUAGUUCGGGUGAUGUACAUAUGUAGAGUUUACAUAUGUAGACGGUAGGAGUCGCGCAUAUCUACCUACUUGCAAUAUGCCUGAUAGAGGCUUUUUAUUAUGUGAGUUCGAUUAAUUUCGUCUUAGGAAUCACCAAUUUUCAUUAGAGGAGCGCGGUAACGCCGAGCUAUGGCUAUACGCAUAUUGUAAUUCCUUAACUAAAGGAGCAGUCAGAGAAUCGCAGUGAUCCUAUGUAUACUGAGUGGAGAAUUUAUAGGUCUCUGGAGAACUUUUACGGAACGACGGCUAGCGACCUGAUAAUUUAUAAAAGACGUCAGCCGCCAUAAUAACUACAAUGGAUAAAGCAGCAGAUCAUUAGACGGCUUUUAGGAGUCUGAUUACCGAGGUCGUGACGCAUGUAUGGCACCGCGUCUCCGGUUGGAGCAUGUCAG